rnacentral:rRNA from 1 species
UCGGGAAUUUUGGGCAAUGGGCGAAAGCCUGACCCAGCAACGCCGCGUGAAGGAUGAAGUAUUUCGGUAUGUAAACUUCGAAAGAAUGGGAAGAAUAAAUGACGGUACCAUUUAUAAGCUCCGGCUAACUACGUGCCAGCAGCCGCGGUAAUACGUAGGGAGCAAGCGUUGUUCGGAAUUACUGGGCGUAAAGCGCACGUAGGCGGAUUGUUAAGUCAGAGGUGAAAUCCCGGAGCUCAACUUCGGAACUGCCUUUGAUACUGGCAAUCUAGAGUCCGGAAGAGGUUAGUGGAAUUCCCAGUGUAGAGGUGAAAUUCGUAGAUAUUGGGAAGAACACCAGUGGCGAAGGCGGCUAACUGGUCCGGUACUGACGCUGAGGUGCGAAAGCGUGGGGAGCAAACAGGAUUAGAUACCCCCGUAGUCCCUGAGCGGGCUGGCAAGGCGCAU